UACGGGGGGAUGCAAGCGUUAUCCGGAAUUAUUGGGCGUAAAGGGUCCUGAGGUGGCUAGCCAAGUCUAUUGUGAAAUAUCAGGGCUUAACCCUGAACAUGCGGUGGAAACUAGAAAGCUUGAGUACAGUAGGGGCGGAGGGAAUUUCCGGUGGAGCGGUGAAAUGCGUAGAGAUCGGAAAGAACACCAACGGCGAAAGCACUCUGCUGGGCCGACACUGACACUGAGAGACGAAAGCUAGGGGAGCGAAUGGG
rnacentral:rRNA from 1 species